CUUCCGGUGAGGCCGCCGCUGGUAAGCUUUCCCUCUCUAUGUCGUCUCUAAUUUUCCCAAUUCCCACAGGAAAACAAAAGCCCUAAUUUUUUUUAAGAAAGCCCUAAUUUUCAGAUUUUCGCCUCAGAUUCUGCAGAAAAAUCGAUUUGACUUUCGAGAUAAAAGGCAAGGGCAGAUAUAAUUAUUAACUGUUGUAGCUAUUCAUUGUUUCCCCCUUUUGCUUUAUUUCCAGCUUUUCGUUUUUCUUUGUUGCUUUUUCUUGAUUUUGUUGGGGGGUUCGAUUGUUGAAGUUGAUAUUUUGAUAUCUUUCUAGGCUUGUGUGGGAGAGAUAUGUGGUGCUGGUUUGUUGAUGUGAGUUAAAGGUGGUAGCUUUAUUGGUAUUCGGUGAAUUUAAUUUUGUUGUUGUUGGUGAAAUUCGUCUAUUUUUAGGAUUUGGGUGUUUGCCUUUUAAGUUGAACAUGAUUUGGAAGAUCUCGGUGGAAAUACAUCUGUUGAUUUCCUGCUGUUUUUGGUUCUGAUUGAUAAGUUUUACCUGUUGCUAGUUUAUUUGGUGCACGGUUUUCGGAUUUUAGUGGGAUUUUCAUCUCGUAACUGGUUAGUUUAAAUGUUUGUAUGACUUCUUCUUACUUACCCCUUUGUGGCUUGUUUGUGUGUUGCUUACUGUUUUUCGUAGUUAGAGAUUAACACUGUUCUACCUGAAUUUUAGGUGUCUGCUAAUUUUCACCAUAUAUCAUAGUGCUUGUUAUAUAUGGGCCUCAAUUUCCAACACUUGUAAUAUCUAAGUGUGUUUUCUUGUUUAAAUAUGACCAUAGGCUGGUUAAGUUCUUUCACGUUUUGUGGCAGCCUGCUGAUUACAUCGUUUCCUGAGCUCGGGCUUUGUCCUCUUUGACAUCCAUUUGUAUUAUCUGCAUUUGUGGUUGGGGCUGAUAUUUAGGGUUUUUUUUAUCUUUUCUAAAGUUAUAGGCUUGGUGUGUGCCUUUGUUUUGUUCUGUAGCUUCUUGCUCUAUUUUCUUGUUUUAUUAUUCGAAGAUAUGUUUUAACUUGUCGCUAAGAUACUUGUGAAGAGUGGGAAGAAGGGUUUACUGAUCUAUUGUCUAGCUUAUACGAGUACAAUUCAUUUGUAAUCAAUAUCUGCAUCAACAUCUAGCCUAUAUGUUGCCAAUAGCUAAUGCCGUAUAUAACCUCUGAAUAUAGCUAGAUAUCUCUAAUGGUCUAAUAUUUAGUGAAUAACCUGUAUCCUCUGUGACAAUUAGUUUGAAUGUUAAGAUACUUUAGCAUUUGACAUUCUAUUUUUGUUAAGUUAUCCUUUACAUUUGUGGGUUAGUUUAGAUGACAUUCUAUUGGACAUUUGUGGGUAAAACUAUUAACUCAUCUUUCUAUUGAUGCAUGUGGUUUUUGGUAUAAAAAAAAAUAAAAAAAAAUUAAUACAUAACGGAAAAAUCUUAAUACAUAACGGUGAAAAACCGUUAUGUAUAACCUUUAUAGAUAACGGAUGCGUACUGUUAUGUAUGACGCAUCGUACCGUUAUCUAUACUACUAUACAUAACGGUUUUGAAACCGUUGUGUAUGACGUAUAGAAUAGAUAACACCACUAUACACAACGGUUUUUUUGCUCAUAGAUAACGGAAAAAAUCCGUUAUCUAUGAGCGUUUUUCUAGUAGUGACUCUACUAUAUGAAACCACAAAAUAAAGUUGCAUUCUAGUUAAAAAUAUUAUUUUAUUCUUAAAUACCUUCUGAUCGGCCGUAAAAAUUGUAAACAUGAUAUGGUCGGUCGUACACAAUACGGUCCAAUCCGCCAUAUCUUAUCGACCACUUUUACAGAUAGUCAAAAAGUAGGCAAGCAUAAAAUGAUUUUUUAAAUACAUUUUCUGUAACACCCCGUACUUUUCCUCAUGUUGUGAGAUAGUGUCUUAACACUAUUGAGAGAACUGAGAUGUCGAAAUACGAGACUACUUUUUUUUAUGAGCAGAUAAGACAGAUUGUCUUUUAAAUAGAGAUGCUGAUUGAUUUGAGCUGAGAUUUUAUUUUAUUUCCAACUACCGGGAAUAGAGUUACCGGAUACUGAAUUAUUAGAGAUUGACUGUCCUAUUAAGAAAAAUAGGAAUAAUGAGUUGGAAAUAGAGUCGAGGAAGAAAGAGUGAGAAACCUUGAUAAAUUGAGUCGGUCAGAGAGACGUCUAGCUUAUUUGAGUCUGCCGACUGUUUUGAUGUGAUGUUAUGUGAAUUUACGUGACUGAGUGAUUAUGUGAUUUUGUGACGUGUGUCAAUAUGACCAUAUUAUUAUGAUUUUUAUUUGAAACCUUAGCACUUGGGAAUUUUUAUUAAGUUUCCAAAGAAAGUGCGGUUUAUUUUUACCGAGAAAUCGAAUGAUGCCGGUUUAUGGAAAUUUUUCCAAGCAUAAUAUUUUUAAAUUAUUUUUCCUAUGAUGAGGAAUAUUAUAAUUGAGUGAGUGCACUAAUAUUAGUGCUAUAAUUAUUUUAUUUUGGUCACAUGAAUAAUUAUACUAUGGUACUUUAUUAAUGAGUAAUAUUUCCAUAGUUUUUGUGAUUAUUAUUUAAUCACCCUUCUCACAUGAUUUAUUUUUAAUUUCCCAAGUAUGAGACUAAUUACUAAAAUUUACUAAGUGUAGAGAUUGAGAGAGUAGAGAUUAGAGAGAGUGUAGAGAUUAGAGAGAGAGAGAUCAAGGCAUUAAUGCCAAAUAUUCUAUAAGAUUCACAAAUCUUCCAAAGAUUAGCCAAAUCCAAGCAUAUCUUGCAAAAUCCUCUCUCACUCCUCACUCCCUCAUUUUCGAUCACCACCUCCCUCUCCUUCAUCUCUCUUACUUUCCACCAUUUUCCUCCAUUGAUGCACCUUCGGAGCUUCACAAAUUCAUACCAAAACUCAAAUCACCCUCUAAAUCUUACACUAAACACUUCCACCUCCUUGAAUCCAAGAAGAUCUUUGGAGUUUGAUCUUCAAAGUUAGAAAGAGAAAGUUUGGUUUUGGGUGUAAGUUUGGGUAAGUGAGCUUUAAAUUCAUAGAUUAACUUGUAUGAUGAUAUAUAUGAGUAUAUUUGAAGGAUUGAAGCAAGAAAUCACCCCCUCUCUUAUUCUUCACAAUUUUCGAAAAUAUGGGUCUCAUACCCUUCAAAAAAUUUUCUUUUUCUUUCCUUGAAUUGGGGUGAGAAAAAUGAUCUAUGAUAUGUUUGGUGAUGAUUGAUGUGUGUUUUGAAAAUCUAUGCUUUGAGAUUCAAAUUUUCGAUGGAAGUUAGUUUACCCAAAAAAUGGGAAAUUUUGAGUCAAAUGAGUUAAUAGAUAAAUUGAUGAUGUAAAUGAGUCUAUGAGAUGUAUAUGAUGAUGAUUGAUGGAGUAAUUUGAGUAUAUGAUGUCCAUUGGAGUUUUUGAUGUGAGUUAGUUUACUAAAAUUAGGGAUAUGUGUAUAUAUGCCCUUAUAUGUAAAUUGAUGGUUUUUAAGUGAGAUUAAUUGGUUAAAAAUGAUAAAUAUAUGAAUAGAUUAAAGAUUCAUAUGUGUUUGUAAAAAUUUCGAAGAGUUAGUUUAGUAAAAAUUAGGACUUUUUGGUCUAUGUGUUAUUUAAGUGAUUUUGCUUAGAUAUAUUGUUUUUAAGCAUGAUAGUAGUGUCUUAGUAUUUUUGAUUAAGUCUAUUGUAGGCUAAAUAAAAUUUUGGCUUUAGUUUAGUUUGUAUGUAGUUUUGAGUUUUGUAUGAUGUGAGUUUGAUGCUUGAUAAAAUGAGGUCAAUUUGCUCUAUGAUCAUUAUGAGAAUUUUAUCCAUGUUUUGCUAAGAGUUUUAUGUUGAUACAUGGAUUUUCAUUAAAAUAUAGUUUUUAUGAUAAAAAGUGAAUGAAUAUGUGAAUAAUGAGUUAUAUGAUGUAAAUGAUCAUAUUUGAGUAUUUGAGAAAUUUCGAGCAUGAUAUUGAAAAGAGAAUUUGUUAGAUACGUUCAUUGAAGUGUUUUCUAUGAGAUUUGAGUGGAUGAUGAAAGAAAAGAGUCGAGAUUGAGUAUUACGAGUAUUUUGUUGUAUUUGAAUGUUUUUAAGUGCUAUAAGUGCUUAAAAUGAGCUUUGAUGAGUUUGCUUUGUUUAAAUGAUGAGUUGAGCAUGUUUGCUUGUGUGUAUGUUUCGGAGUCGUUUUUCACGACGCACUGACCUACGGUUUUCGAGGGGUUUUUGAUACCCAAACAUCCUGACAAUUUUAUGGUAAGUAUAUUUGAAAGUCUUGAGAACACCGGUAAAAUUUCAAGUCAUUUGGACUUCGUUUGAUACUUUUAUAAAACUAGUAUUUGCCCCCGUGCAAUGCACGGAAUUUUUUUUGUAUAUAUUAUAAAUAUUAAAUUAAUUAUAAUAAUUACAAAUAUUCAAAAAAAUUAUAAAUUAAAUAUUCCUUUCGUCCCACCGAGCUUGAGUCGUAUUUCUUUUUGGGCUGUCCCACCGAGCUUGAGUCAUUUCCUUUUUUGACAAAAAUUAUGUAAUUUACAACACUAAUUAACAAAACUAAUUGCACCCUUAUUUUUCUUUAAUCAUCCCAAAUAACCCUUAUUUCUCAAAAAAUAAAAAUAUUUUUUNUUAUUCACUCCCUUUUUCUACUCCCGCUUCCUAUCUCCCUCCCUUAGUCAUGAUUUCCCGAUUUAAUUAUCCUUAAUUAAGUCGGGUCGUGACAUCAAGGGUGCAAAGAUAGUGCUUGGUGUUUAAUCUAAUGCUAGUCCAAGUGGGAGAUUGAAAGAUAUAUGGACUAGAUUAGGAUAUGUUUGAUAUAUUCUAAUAAGCUUUAAUUAAUUAGUAAAUAGUUUGACUAUUGGAUUAAUUAAUUAAUUGGAGACAAAAGAAAAGUCCGGCCUGUUUAACUUAUGGUUUACAAGCGUGUCUUAUUCCUAUAAGAAUAGGAAUAUAUUUCUUUUGUCUGGGAGAUGAACACACGUGAGAUACGUAAAAUCACAAGAGAGAAAACACUUAGAGCACUAUAGAAUUCAGUCGAAGAUUUCCUAGCUUUCGAAGAUUGAAUUGUGCAUCGGGAAUUGUUCCUGCAUCGAAUCUGCAAUAUGCGUGGAUACCAUAAUAGUAGCUUUCGAAGAUCGAAUUGUGCAUCGGGAAUUGUUCCUGCAUCGAAUCUGCAAUAUGUGUGGAUACCAUAAUAGUGGAUUCAACUGCAGGAUUACUAGAAGAAUUGCUACAAGAUUGUUUGCUACACAACAAGUAAGUUAUUCUAACUGUUGUUGUGUGUUUGUAAUCUCUACACAUGAAUCAAUUGUAAAUCUAGUGUGUUUGUAAUCUCUACACAUGAAUUAAUUGUAAAUCUAGAUCUUUUCCUUGACUGUUAUUUCCUCUGCGUAUCAUUAGAUGAUGUCAAGGAUUUUCCUAGCAAAGUUUAGAAUUAUUUUGAAGUUAUAAAUCAGGAUGAUUCACGUCGUAUAAAGAAACUGAUUUAUUUUUAAUUCCAACAAAAAUAUUUUACAAAAGCUUUCAUAAAUUUUACUCCCUCCGUCCACCAAAAAUAUGCCACAGUUUUCUUUUUCGUCCGUCCACAAAAAAUAUGCCACAUCCAUUUUUAGUAGUAGGGUCCACACCAUUCCACUCACAUUUAAAGUGGGACCCUUACUCCACUACCAACUUCACUCACAUUUUAUUAAAACCCUUGCCGAAAGUAAAGUGGCAUAUUUUUGGUGGACGGAGGGAGUAUUUAUUUAAAUUCUUAUACAUUGCAUAUUUUUUUAAAUUGAGCAUUUGAACAUUUACACGAGCUAUUUAUUUAGCGAACCCUAGAGAAUUAUUUCAGUUCGACAAUUCAUCGCAGAUGUUUUAAUUGUCACAUCACGUCAUUUCAUUGUUUUUAGCAACCCUUACCAUCAAAGUCACUCCCCACAAUUAAAGUCUAUUCCUACGCUCUAUUUUUCCUUCAUUCACGCAUCUACUCUUGAAAGAGCAACAACAUAACCUUGCUAGGCAGUCCCCCCACCCUGUGCAUCACUUUAUCUCAUCAGCCAAAGUCCCCUUCAUCCCACACAACAACUCUCUCGCCAAGAAAAAAAACUUAGAUUCCAUAUUUUCGAUUCAAGGACCAAGCUUUUACCGAAUAUACAUCAAAAUCAACAAAGUUCACACAAGCUCAACUGAAAGUUUUAAGGUUUCAUUUUCUUUAAACUUCACUACUUGUUUUUACAGUAUUCUCCAUUACUUUCAGAACACACAAACCUCGGCAUAAGCCUAAGCUCCUUAGAUGAGGGAUGUGAGAGUUGAGAUAAAUCGUCAUCCAAUCAUAAAUGAAAUAAAAUCGUAGUGUGGCUUGAAUAAGAGAUGGCUUCAUAAAACCUAAAAUGGUAUUCAAGCCUUUGAAGAUACCAGCCAAAAUCGGAGCUGUAAGGGCCAGUUUCUAUUGAUUCACCAUCAAACUUGUUAUCUUGAAGGUAGACGGUAUGAUUAACGUGACAUCACCAACUGAAAAGAUGAAAAUGCAUAACCAACAAGCUCUAUGAGCCGCCAUAUACAAAGUGACGUGAUGUUUAUCUCUAACACCAAGCUCUAUAAAUGGAGCUUUUUCCUCAGAAGACCUUGGUCCAUGCACCUCAAAUGAACCGCUCGAAUUAUGAGUUGACUUAGGACGAUGUGAUUUCUUUACCUUACGAAUAGGAGGAUGUGGAUACUUCGGAGCCUUGUUUGACCAAAAUUUGAUCCAUUCUGCAAUAGUAACUGGACUCUUGAGAUUCUUGUUAUCGCGAUGCUUAAGGGAAUAAUAAGCAUAGAGCAAAUGUCUACAGCUCGAAGGAAUAAAUCGCUUGUCAUACUGAUCUUUACCAAGAAUCUCUUUUGCACAAGGAACAACUUCAUCAUAAAGGUAGACGGUCAUUCCUGAUAAAAGAGAUUCUUGAUAAAGAUCGAUAUGACAAGCUAUUCAUUUCUUCGAGCUAUGGACAUUUGCUCUCUCCUUAUUAUUCCCUUAAGCAUUGCGAUAGCAACAAUCCCAAGAGUCUAGUUACUAUUACAUAAUGGAUCAAACUUUCAUCGAAGAAGGCUACAAAGUAUCCACAUCCCCUACUCGUAAGCCAAAGAAGUCUCAUCAAGUCAACUCAUAAUCCGAGCAGUUCAUUUGAGGUGCAUGGACCAUGGUCUUCUGGGAAAAAACUCCAUUCAUAGAGCUCGGUGUUAGAGACAAGCAUCAUGUCACUUUGUACUUAGUGGUUCAUAUGUCUUGUUGGUUAUGCAUCUUCGUCUUACUAGUUGGUGCGUCACUGAUGAAGCUGAACUUUGAGUUUUAAUUGAAGUUGUCAUUCCAGCUAACGUACAAAUAAAUUUAUAAUACCUUGCCCAAGACAGGCGUAGUACAAGUGAUAAGCGAGGGGUCGAUCCCACAGGGAGUUGGUGUAGUUGCGUCUCAUGUCACGUUCACAAAAAAGAGAGGGGGAAAGGUUGAUGUAUUGUUCUAGUCACGAGAGACUUUACAGAGUCUCAAGGGACAGUAUUACGGGCGAGAGGGAAAUAAAAACUGAAACUCUAAAAGAAAUAAUCAAAAUAAAAAGGGAACCUGGGCAAGACAAUGAACUAACAAAUAUAAACUCGAUCGGUCAUCAGCUAAGAUAUUCACUACUAUGUACUAGUUAUAACUUACCAAUGGCCUGUGCCCCCAUUCUCACUUGUCACGUGCACUUCCAUUGUGUAAGAAAAUUUACCAUUAUUUGUUCAAGGUAAGGGACACCCUAUACCAAUAAACCAUCUUGACCUAACCAUACAAUAGGACACCUCAAAGCAUGCAAUUAAACCAAGAAGCAUUGAGCCCUAGAUAGAUCUGAUGUUGAACAUAGGCAGACUGUAGUCUACUUCAACCUCUCGUGCCCACAAUACUCUCAAGACGCAAAGUGAUCGUAAACACCCUAUAACCUUGAUUUAUUUGAAUCAAGCCACGCACUUCGGGAACAUACACAAGUAGAUUCUCACACCCAAGACAACCUCACGAUUUAUGAGUUUAUAUUCAUAUCAUCACGUCCAGCCUAGAUUAAUAAACUUAACUAGAUAAUAAAUAAAUAACAAGCAUAAAAGUAAAUGAAGAUAUUAAAUAUAUAAAAUGAAAACUUACUAUUGAAUGAAAAUAAAAACACGGCAAACACCAACACCUCCGACAACAAACAUACGAUAAACUAAACUAGCGUCUUGCGUCGAAGGGCUUAACAAAAACGGAAAACUAUAGCUAAGGAUUGGUGUGGUUCUCCUCUAAAAUAUCCUCUAAAAUAUAGUCUCGUCUCCUCCUAUUCAUGUGUGUGCAGCUGAUAUUUAUAGGAGAGAGUUGGAGUAGGCUGCAAGCUUUGGGUUCUGUAGACUCAUUUACUUGUUAGACUAUCCAAGUUCAUCUCGCCCAGACUCUAGCUUUGCAUGAACUCUGCCUCCAUCCUAAUCAGAAAAGGCUUCAAGUACAUCAUCAUUUUCCAGAUCUUAAGGGAUAAACGUUCACCCUUAUCCAUUCUUGAUUCGGACUAUCUACCACGUCAGCAUCUUGAUCAAACACGUCUUGCCCAGAAUCCUUCCUUGUGUGGACACUUCCAUGUUUAUAUUCUCCAUCUGCCAUGUCAUCAUCUUAUCCUCCACGUCAUCAUCUUGUCCAAGAUGUCGGUCAAUCUUCCUGCUCAACUCCAUUCCUUCUGUCUUGACCUCUUCUUGCCCUCGAUGCUUCUCACGAUGAAAGCUUGAUUCUGAUCGGUAGUUAGGCUGACUCUUGGUCAACGACAAAUAGCCUGAGCUGCAACACUCUUCCAGAAACAACUCCAUCUUGCCCAACACCAGCAAAGCUACUACUCUGAGCGGUAAUGUCUGUUCUGACCCAUAACAUCUGGUCAAGUGGUUGGCAUAUGUAUGUCUCUACAUUGAAGUUUAUCCAUAUCGCGACACUCCAAUUAACAUGGUCAGUCUCCAGCUCAUUCCCAGAUUCCAAAUAAGUGCUUCAUUGUGCCCAUUCCAGCCUCUUCGAGCCCUACCUCAUCACUGUGUUCUCCCAGACACAAAAUAACACAAAACAAAGAAAAAUGACUCAAUCUAGACCUAGACACGACAUAAAAAGAGCACAAAAACUAGGUUCGUCACACGCACAAACUUUAACCAUGCUUGUCCCCAUGAAUGGACGCGCAACUUGCCCAAAAUGACAAAACAAAUACUCAAAACACACAAAGUCAGCAUACACAAGAAAAAUAAGUCACAAAGAGCAUGGCGACUUCAACAAGUAAAAUUCGAACAAGAACAAUUUAAUGCAAUGACCAUCAGACAAUCAAAAUACGAAUUGAGCUUAUGGAGUUAUUCCUCACCAGCACUCUCCACUCUUGUGUUUAGGUUGGACUGUUUACGCACAAGACGACCUUCAUCACUGGCUUGCCAUAGGCUUGCAUGCUUUCUAUAUCUCCACCCCUUAGAUUAGAUUUUAAAUACUCAUCCUUAGGUCUUAUUUUUGGUUGUAAUGGGGCUUAAGGCAUUAUGUAUGAAGUAUUUGGAUGUAGGCUAAGGUCAAUUAGACUCAUGACCAAGAUAUUAUCGUCUUGGCCAAAAUUAAUUUCGUGCCCUUUAGUACGGGCCUGAGCACAUACAACCUGUACUUCUUCAGAUAUUUCUUUUUCUUUUCUAAGUCCUUUUCUUUUCUCUCUACGUCUUUUUGUUGAGGGCAUUUUGUCCUCAUUUUUCAUUACAUUGCUUUGGGCGUCUUGCCUUUUAAUUUUCACUAUUAUUUUUCUCUAUUUCCCUUUCUCCUUUAAUUUCUCAUGAGUCUUCUUGACCGGGUAAGGCUUUUUUCAUGGCUAAUUUUGAGUGAAUUUAAAAGAAUUUUUCCAGCUCAAAGGGGCUAACAAAGAAAAUAACAACGGGUAAGACAUUUUUGGCUUAGUGGGCUAAAAGAAUUUAAGCAUUUUAAUAUAGGUCCAUAGGGCCUCAAUUAAGAAACACACGUAAGUUCUAGCUAUAUGCAAAAUGAGGUCAUCACAAAACACAAAAGAAAUAAAAAACUGUCUUGGUCAUGAUGAAUACAAUAAUUAGGCUCAAAACUCGCAGGGUGUGCUCAAUUUGAUUCGUUAUAUUUGUCUACAUGCGAUCAUGCAAAAUUGAAAAAAAAAAAUCUUAAAAAAACUUGCAAAGUCUAAAGAAUCAUCAUGCUCAAGGUGACAAAAUUAUUCUAUCAUGCUGACGACCAAAAAUAAAACAAAGAAAGAGACAAAGACGAGUAGGCUGCCCNCCCCCACCCACACACUUUGCCUUGGGCAAAGUGGGUCAAAAAGGGAGCCAACUCGCAAACCAAAAAGACUACAAAUAAAAAGGCAAACACAACCCUUCCCACUCACACACUUUGCCUUGGGCAAAGUGAGUCAAUAAAAAGGGCUGAUACCAAAAAAAAAAAAAAAAGCUACAUCAACAAGCGAUCACUCUCCCUCACACACACACUUUGCCCAGGGCAAAGUGGGUGAAAAAGAAGAAUCGACAAAAAAAAAAUUAACUCUAGUACAACAAACAAUGAGAAGGUCAAUCGCUAACAAACGAAAAGAACAAAGACAAAACAAAAACCUACAGACCUAAAACAAAACGGGAGGACAUACUUUAGACGAGGAGAGAAAAAGGGGAAUACCUAAAUUCUACGAACUGAAAUAGGCGAGUAGGGCUUCUUGAUGGCAUCUAUCUUUUCAUCUUGGGUAGUUUGAGUUUCCUCCAUUCUGACCAUCCUUGCUCUGUUCGCACUGCUGGAUGUUUUGGGCACAACGGUUUUCUUCAGCCCGCCCUAGAUGGGGUGACCAUUUCAUUGUUGCUGAUGGUUGUGCCCUAUNUGUGGCGAACCAUUUUGUUGUUGCUGAUGGUUGUGCCCUAUGUGUUGACUCAUCAUGCUCUCUUCCAGACUCACAUCUUACCCUAGACUCAUUUGUUCUUCUUUUUCUUCUCACUCCUGCACAUCACAGACAAAUAUACCUUUAACGGAAAAUCAACCCCCUAGCCGUAGGAAAGAAAACUUAAACAAAAAAAAUAAAAAUAAAAACAAACUAAAAAUAAAAACAUACCAGGUUGCCUCCUGGCCAGCGCCCCAGUUAUCGUCGUGGGCACGAUGUUGCACUCUAUCAGUCUGGAUCAUAAACAAGGAUCUUAUGACCAUGUUCAAAUCACUUGACACGAAUCGCUUGGUCAUGUGACCGUUUCAACAUCCAGAUCUUGACGAGUUGAACCCAAUCAUGUGCAAUCUUCAUUAUUCUUUUGCAAUUUGCAGUGUCUUCCUAGACCUUGUGCUAAAAUUGCUUCAAAAUUUGUGUCUGAAACUUCCCAGCUUGCCCACAAUACUCCCAAUCAAUGUUGAACUUUCUCCAGUCAGUGUUCCUCUUUGCUGACCACUCGGAUAAGUGGUCUCUUGGGCACAUUGGCCUCUUGCUCGGGCAGUUUUGUCUUUGGAAUUUUUGGCUGUAAAAGUUUUGGCUUUGAGAGUUCCAUCACCACAAUGUUGUUGCACUUCAGACCUUCUUCAUAGUUUGCUCCUGUCUUGCCAUAUUGGGCAGGACAGCUAUUGAAAUCAUCCUCUGUGGGCAUGACGCUUUCUACACUGGGCAUUUAGCAGAUGGUCAAUAGAGGGAGCAAAUUGGAUUCCGCCUUCUUGGAGAUAUGGACCAUGUUGGCCCGUUCCUCCAUUUCUCGAUUUUUAGCCAACCUCCUUGGAAAAUGAGGUCUAAUUUUCAGUGGAAUGAGCUUGACGUACUUGGGCUCUAGCUCCUCUUCAUGGUCUGCCUGUUUCUUAUCAUACUGGGCAAGAUGGUUCUCAACUUCAACCUCUGUGGGCAUGAUGCUUUCUAGCACGAGCAUUUUGACCUUCUCAUGUAAUGGCUCAUCACUCCUCAAUUUAGUAGUGUAGAUAUGUGUCACAGCCCGCAAUCUCUAAGGAUGGCUUAGCCGGGGUUAUGACUCGGGAAGGGGAUUAAGAAGCGGGAAAAGAAAGGGGCAUUUACUUAACAAUCAAACAUUUUACGAAAAAAGACAUUUAUUUAUAUAACACUAGGAUCAUAACUGAUCACUUGGGCAAAUACAAGACGUUUGUUCGGGAAGGCCCGUGAUAACACUCAUAUUUCCAUGGUUUUUAAUGUUCAUAUGAUGUUAAUUUUAUAGGAAAUUGAGUGUUGGAUGAUUGUUUUGUGCUUAAUUUGCUUUAUCUUGUGAAACAUGAUUCUUACUCGAACUUUCAAGGAACUUUCAGGUUUAUUGAGUUCGAAUUUGGAACACUGUUCUGAAAUAUAAGUUGUAGAUCGUCUCGAUAGGAGUUCGUGAGCGCAGACGGAUCGCAAAUCCGAGUUCAGAUGAGACAGUUAUGGCCGAAACGAAAACAUCGCGCGCAGCAGUCAGAACCCGGCGGUCAAACACCGUUGACCACCGCUCGAAGAAGGAUUUCCGGCGACCUGACCGGCGACCGCCGCCUGGGUCGCCGGACCUUCUGGAACGUUGGAAAAGACGCGGCGAUCGCCGUGUUAUGAAGGAUUUUUGUGCUUGGGCCGGCGACCGCCGGAUGGGUCGCCGGGUGGGUCGUCGGCUACCCGGAUUUUUCAGUUUUGCGCGUUUUUUGAGUUCUUCUGGGUUUCAAACUCUAUAUUUUACCCUGGUACUAUAAAUAGGUCUUCUUAUGACCUAUUUUGGGUUCCUCUUUUAGUUCCCAGCUUUAGUUUUUCAGUUCCCAACAUUCAUAUUUCAGUUUUAUAGCUUUAGAAUACUUUAGCUUUCCAGUUUUCAAGGCUUGGAUCAAGAUUGAAGAUUGAAGUCGCUACAAUCGUUUUAAUUCAAUUUUUAUACAAUUUGUUUUUACAAUUGCGUUCAAUUUAAUUAUGUUUAUGUUUGAUUUUGCUAUGUCUGGCUAAUUUCCUUUAGCUGAUUCUAGGGUUUGUAAAUAGUUGAUUGAAUUUAUGUGAUUUAUUUGUUAAUACCUUUGUGCCUUCCAGUUUAUGAUUCAUGAUUCCUGGUGCUUAAUUUCUUGUGAAUUAUUUGGCCAAUAAUUUACAUGUCUAGUUGUUCAGUUUGAGUCUUGAAUGCGAUAAUUGUUCAGCCGAUUCAGGAAUGCAUGAUAUAGUGUUAGCCUUGAGUCUUGAAUGCGAUAGGUGAAGCUAUAGGGAGCUAUUCUUUGUGUACGCUUGGGAGUUAAUUUAUUCCUUGGAGUCUUGAAUGUGAAGGGGGGUAAAUUAAUCUACUUUCAUAGGUGUUCGUUAGAGAAGCUUGUGAAUAGUUGUGUGAUCUCUCAUCAUAACUGGAUUAAAUUGGUACAUAGGAUUAAUAGAUUUAUAGCGUAGAUUUAGUUAAUGAAUUUACUACCCUAGGAUCAGUUGUUUUUAAUAUUUGAAUUCGUCUACAUACUUUUAUUUAUCGUUAUUUGCGUUUUAGUUUAAGUAAAUCAAUCUCUACCUUCUGUUGCCUGUCUACUGUUAAAGUUUGUUUAGGAGAUAGCUAGAGUUAUUUCGAUUUUCAGUCCCUGUGGAUACGAUACUCGACUUGCUAUUUCUGUGCUACAAUUACACUGUUUAGUUGCAGUUUUUGUUGCUAAGAAAUUAGUGAUCAGGAAUUACCGGCCAAUCUCUCCAGCAUCUGGUCGAUAAAGGGCAAUGGGAAGUGGUCCUUCCUGGUUGCAUCAUUCAGUUUCCUGUAGUCAAUGCAAACUCUCCAUCCAGUUUGCAAUCGGGUGGGCACAAGCUCGCCCUGAUCAUUCUCCACAACCUGUAUCCCAGAUUUCUUCGGUACGACAUGGAAUGGACUUACCUUGGCUAUCGAAAUCGGAUAAGAUUGGACGGAUUAUCAGUAUGAUCGAAACGUGUUAACAACAGUUAUGACCUAACCAAAUAAUUCAUCCGUUGUAUAUUGAUUUGUACUUUGCUGAGUCUUCAAUUUUGAGUUUCCUUAUUUGGUGAGAACGGGUUCUCAGUCGCUGGGGAUUCGACCCUACACUUACCGCUAAGACUAAGUCUUGUGUAGACGUAGGACGUUACUGUCUGUACUGGGCAUACACAGGUAUUUUGUCCGCACCGCACGACGGGUGUGUGUCAGGAGGUUCAGUCCGAGGAAGAAUGUUUAACUGAUACUUGACUUUAGUAUCAAUCCGUUGAAUCCACGUGGCCCGCAUUAAGUAAUCAGUCGUAACUGAUUCUUGGACUGUUCAGUCAAAUAUCAGUAUUUGACUCUGCCUUAAUUCGUUACAUCAGUCGGUAACUUCAGUCUUCAGUCUUCAAUCCUCCGGUCUUCAGUCUUCAGUCUUCAGAACACUAACUAAACUAGAAAAAAAAUAUAACACCUGAGUUCGAACAGUUCUAGUCUAUUAUAAGGGAAACCUAAGGAUUUUGGUAUCAUCAAAACAAGGAUUAUGAUAUUUCAUUAAGUUCCCAGCACAAUCUGUAGGAGGAAUAUGACAUUAUGCAGGAGGAGGAUGACAUUGUGCAAGAGUUUCUUGAUAACCUGCAAGAUGAUGUGGCCAUUGAAGAAAAGUCGUUGGACAAGUUGCCACUCGAAGUGGAUAUAGUGCAAGAAUUCCCCGCUCACUUGAAAGAGGAGCCAGCAGUUGAAGAAUAAUUUCUGGACGUGCUGCAACACAAGGAUGAUGUAAUGCAAGGGUUGUAGUGUGUACUGCCUUGGGAAGAGAAGAAAGAGGGGAGUUUUCGAUUUGGCUCCCGAAGAAGAGUUGUAAGGAAGUCGUUGGAUGUGAUGAGCGUUGUAUGCUUAUUAGGAGGGCCCGCAGCUGCAAUUAAAGAGGAUGUGUUAUCACAGGCAUUAAGGCAGCUGAAGCUUCAAUCUGACUUUGGUUAAAUGUUUCUCUAAGUCGGGCUGGUGACUUUAAAACUAGCGUUGCAUGGGAGGCAACCCAUGUUCUUCUUAGUUUUCGCUUGUUUCUGUUUUUCUUUCUGCUUUGUUUGAUGUUUGUUUUAGUUGUGUUCUUGGUGUUUGAUGCAGGUUCUGUGUUUUUGGGAGAGAUAUUUUGUGUGGAAAAGAAGAAUGCAUGGCAAUGUGGAUUUCCAAGGGCUCAGCUCCUUCAUUCAUGUUCAGGGAAGUGUUCUCUUACACUUUUAUUUCAAGCUGUGUUUUGUUCUAAGUGUGGAGGAGUUGAGAACCUUGGAUUUAUUGAUUUUGGUAAAUGUUGGGGAGUAUUUUUGUACUUAAUUGGUGGGUAAAUGGUCCCCCUGCACUUGGCUUGAUUCUUGGAUGCAUACUAAUUAUUAUGAAUUUAUGGAAGUGAUGGUUUUCGAUGUAAUUUUCGGGUUAGUGCCGAUUGGUGGAGAUGCUAGUUUUUUUUAUACAUGUGUCUUGUUGGUGCAAAUGAAUUAUGAGUUUUGUUGCAACACUUUUGUAAGCAAGUGAAACAUGAUUUGUUCGGUAGAUGCUAGAGGGAGUGUUGUCACUGUGAUUGCCUACGAUCUUAUUUUUAUGUGUGACGUUGUAUGAAUUAUGAAAUAUUUGAUAGCUCUGAGUCUCUGCUCCUUUAGUAUUUCUAUGAGCAUGAGAAACCACGUGAGAAGACUUUGGAUUUCCUCCAAAAGAUUUUAUCUCAUGAAUUGUGGCUACACUGUUGAAAUAAUAGAAUAACUUCUAAAGAGAACACAAUAUUGUGAAAAGAAAACAGUUGUUACAUGACAUAUUGAUUAUAAAGGCGAUCGCAUUAGGGAAUUCACUUCUAGCGGAGAAUUGGGUCUGGCCGAAUCAUUUGUAUUACAGUUUUGUUGCUUCUUAAACUUUAAGUUACUUGCAUCAUCUAAGAGACAUGUGUUUAUUGAAAAUUUUGAAUUGGCUUGUUGAAUGUUUGGUUGGAAAAUGAGCAUCGUUGAACCAUCUCUUUAUUGGAUUCAUAUGGAUUUUGCUUGAGGACAAGCAAAACGCUAAGUGUGGGGAGGUUGUUUAGUCCUAUUAUGUGAUGAUUAGAUGGGUGUUUAGGUGUGCUAUGAGUUUAUAUUUUCGGUCUCGUUCACUCAAUAAUUGAUUGAUUUGAGCUUAUGUGCUUAUUUUGUUGUCUCACGAUUGGAUGCUCUAAUUGAAUAAUUAGUGGAAAACUAUAGAGUGCGAAUUUGGCUAAUUGGUCCUUAAAAGAAUUAUAGCUCGUCUCGAUAGGAGUUGUAGGCAAAAAUAGAUUCAAAAUCGGACUUGUAACGAGAAAGAACGGGCCGAAACAAAAACAUCGCGUAGUGCAGUGUUCGGGUGGCAACCCCGCGGGCGAUGGCUCUUCCCCGCGGGCGCCCCGACGCUCCCAGCACCAGAUGGCUAUUCUCCACGCCCGAUGGCACUCCGCCAUCGCCCGAUCACCCUCUCCCCAACGGCGAAGGCCCAACUCCUUCGUCGAGCUUCUCUUUCUCCCCGCGCCGUGGCCCUUCACGCAUUGCCGGUGCACAAUUUUCCUCGACCGAACACUCAAGUCCCUCGGCUGACAAUCCUUCCUCCCUUGGCCAAGCCAACAUUCCCAGCGGCUGAAGCCAUGCACCCCUCGGCCAGCUAUUUGCCCAAGCGGGCGAGUGCCUCGGCGCUCCCUUUCGCUCAUCGGUCGAGCUGUUUGCCCAAACAGGCGAGUGCCUGGCCCAUUCCAGCAGCCGAGGCGUUCUAGCCAGCACCCGAUCUCUCAUCACACCCUUCUUUUGCUCCAAUUAGAAUACGCCAUGUGUCCCAGUCCAAAAUAAAAUGUUAAAGGAGUAUUUCACAAUUUCGGAGUAUAAAAGAGCGGACUUCUCAUUUCCUAGGGUUAACAUCCAUUCUCACCCUUUCAGAGACGCAGUUCUAGCCAGACUUCAGUUCUUAGUUAGGGUUUAUUCGCUUUCCAUUUUCAUUCUUACGCUGAGAAUAAUUAAUAGUUAGAGAUUUAUCCCAGUCAUCAUCAUUACUGUAAGUUUCCAUUUUAUUUCCUAGUUAAACUCUUAGAUUUAUGAUUUCAAUGCAGUAUCUGUUAUUUCUUUCCGUAUGCUCUUUAGAUUUAUUUUAGUUAAUCAUUUAAUCCGCUGUCUAGAUAAUUGUUAUUUUGUUACGCAAUUAGUUUAAUGAAUUACUGCUUUUCCUCAAGAACCCUAGCGUAGAUUUUCAUCCUAUUUAUUUCUGCUUAUUAUUCUAGUGCUUGCCUAGAUAAUUUUACAUGCUUUAUUUCUUGCCUAGAUAAUUUACAUGCUUUAUUUCAACAAUUAAUUACUCUCUUCUUCAAUUCAAAAUUCUAUCUAUGAAAAGGCUGUCAUAAAUUUGAGAGAGCUUCACGUAUGUCUUCGAAUCGGUGAAGAUUGCAGGCGUUCCUCAAGCUCUAUUUAUAGGCGAAGUCUUGAAUAGAUCCGUUGGAGAGAUGGUCUUCAGGAUUUCUACCAUUGUGAGAGGAUGUCACUUCUUGGGCUGAGGUGUCAAUCUUCAGAUACUGCAUGUACCAAAUAUUUAAUUCUUGUAUUUGGAGUAUAGUGCUUCUGCAGCUUUAACACGAAAAGAGAAGCUCAGGUACUUGCAAACGAUCUUCAUAUCUUUGGCAUUUAAUGUUGUUGUGCUCGGGCAUUUAAUGCAGCGUGUCUGAUACCCUUCACUUCAGUCCGAUGCAGAAUAUCGACUGGUAUUUGCUUUGGACUUCAUUUUGACGAUGACAUGAAUUGCUUGAGUAACUCUGACUGGUGACUGAUGACUUUCAGUCAAGGUGCGUCCUUCAGUGGUUCGUUCAAUAUGCUUCAGUAAAACCGCCUUCAGUCUUUGCCGCUUCAGUCAAAACAAGUGAGGGCAAAAAACUUGAGUCAUAAUGUGAAUAUAAGACAAAGAAGCUUUCAAAUGGUUUUGGUAUCAUCAAAACUAGGAUGAGGAUAUUUCAUUUAUUUCCCAACAUUAGUGAUUUUGAAUCAAUUUUUAAGGCGAUGUGUGACACCAUCGUCAUAUGCGCUCUAAUCUUCACGACCUCGGGUGCCACCACCUCCCUGUACUUUAUCUCGUGGAGUUGGUCGCCACCGAUGAUGGCGGCGCUCUCUGCCGACCAGUGAUGUGAUACCUCCUCCCUCACUCACACGAGGGCUUGCAUAUGUAAAUCGAACAACACACAACAACAACGUGGAGACGUCCUGCGCGGUGGUUGCAUCCAAUAGUCGGUCAAGCACGAUAGCUCUUCUUCCCCGCUCGCCAUCCGUCUCUCACUCGCUGUGGUGCAUGAUUUAUCUAGGUAGAUAUGGGUGUAAGGGUAGAUACUAAGAAUCAGGAGAUCGAUGAAGAAUUUGUUAGAGAUAGGGUAGAGCGGCAGAGAAUCGACGAAGAUAGGUAGGGUUAAUUUGGCUAUUUGGAUUAACUAAGAAAAAAAUUUGGGGUGUAAUUAAUUUUAUUAAUUAGAGCUUUAAGUUGCUUAAUUUUUGUCGAAAAAGGAAACAGUUCAUCUUCGUUGGAACGACCCGAGAAAGAAUACGUGUCAUCUCCGUUGGGAGGAAAAGUAUUAUUUUACCAUUGUAUGUGUAGUGUGUAUGAAUUUUGACAAGAGUGCUCAUAAUUCUCCAGCUUCAUAACUCAAUAAUAUAUAGAUUUAGGAUCAUUUUGUGUAUCCAGUGGGGGGAUUUCGGUUAUAACUUAUAAGACAAAUAUAGAUAUCUUAGUCACAUAUAUCCAAUAAAUUUUGUAAGCAAUUAUUCCCCGUAAGUUUUUUUUGUACCUUUUCGUUAUUUAAUUAUAUUUUAAAUAAUGUUUCUCAAAGAGUUUAGUGCUCCAAAUUACCACAAGUAAUACUGUGUAAUUUAUAAGGAUAAUAUUUAUAAACAUACUAUUUACUUUUUCACAUAUUAUAUAAAUACAACUCAUGAGUGCCUCAUGACCAAAUCCACCAUGUUCAUCAACAAUACAAGAUUUCUUAGUGGUCAAUCUUUACAGAUUGUCUGCCUAAGAUUAAAACACUUAUCUAUAAACUACACCUAUUCAUGUUGAUAUAACAUAGAAAAAUUAACAAUCGAAUAAUCUAACGUUAAACAGACAAAUACACAACGUACUAUGCUCUAAUAUUCUUGAUCUUCAAUCCUUGUCCUUGACCUCCCAUUAAUACAGAGUAAGUCUUUUCAGAUUGGCUGCCUAAGACUCUUUCGUCAAAGCCAGACUUGAAGAAUCGGUGCCACGUUUGCAGCAGGAAAAAUGACGAAUUGGUUGAGGUGAAUGUUAACUUGCUGAAAUUACAGUUCCAAGACGUACGUAUGAGAGGUUUAUCUUGUAGCUUUUAUAGAAGCCAUGUCGUGGUCAGUUUCCUCGACUUCCCACUUCCAGAAGGUUUCUAUAACCGCUGCAAUAUCUUUUCAAAAACUGCCAAUCGACUAGUCAUGGAUGUUGGUUGAAGAUUAUGGUACCUAAAAAAUAUGAAUAAUUUAACUGGCCACUACUUUUGGCCAUGAUUAAUCCACCUUUUCACUUAUUAAAAACGUGAUCAAGUGCAUAGAACACACCACAAUUCAAAGAAAAGAAAAACCUCUUCUAAAAAAUACUAAAAAAAAAAAAAAAAAAAAAAACCUGAAAGAAAUAGAUUAAAUAUAAUACAGUUACUAAUGAAGAGUACAAAGUUCAGCUUCAAGCCGUGGCUGAGCCAGAAAUUUUUAUGGGGAGGACUGAAUUUGUAUGGGGGUUCGAGAGUGGUAGUCCUGAGCCAAUUUUUUUGUCUGUCAAUCGAAUUAUUAAAUAAAAAAUGCAUAAUAAUAGGAACAAACAAUAUUUUCAUACAUUAAAUAGAUCUAGUAUACACUAUAAAUAGCUUUAAAAUAAAUACUUGACGAACUUAUUAUUUUGUUGUUCGAAAAACUAAUGACAAAUAAUUUUAAUGCAUUGAUUGAAAACAUUGCGAAAUAUUUUGGUUAUCAAUUAUUGAGAAGAAUAUUCUCAAUGUACAUGACUAAACAAGUUAUGUUAUCUUCUAUUUCUUCUCUUAAUAAUAAUAAUAAUAAUAAUAAUAAUAAUAAUAAUAAUAAUAAUAAUUUGGGGGUGGGCUGAGCCUCCAUGUGAUUCCGCCACUGGCUUCAAGAAAGACUCUAGAAAUAUUGGCUGAUUCUCAUAAAUGUUGACAACAAAAUUUUAUUAUCAGUAUUCAUUCAACCCAACAAUGUUGAAUUCAAUAUUGAUUCUAUUCGUUUCGGAGUUUAAUAUUUCCCAUGUCUUGUAUAUGUAGGCUGAUUGGAAUUUACACAAGUAUUAAGAAAAAUCAUUAGAAAUUAAUGAAAAUAUAUAAUUAAAUUUCAUAAUAUGUUCAUAAUUAUUAUUUAAUAAUGAAUUAAAAUUAGAGUAAAUUAAAGAAUUAAAUAAAAAUAUAAUAUUAAAUGAGUAAAAAAUAUUAUUUUUUAUAAAAAUAAGCUUAUAUAAAUAAAUGGAGUAUCCGAAAAAAAUAAAUGGAGUCUGUCUAUAUAUAGGGGACGAGGAGAGUAAUAAAGUACUUUUCCUCAUCAACUCUCAUUAUUUAUGUUUUCUUUAUUGUUUUUUAUGUUUUUCCACCAAAAAAUGAUUUAUAUUUGAGCACAAACGGAAGUGAAAGCAGCAACUAAUGCAAGCCUUAGGCAGUUAGGCUUUUCCUCAAAAAAAAAAAAUUAAUAAUAAUAAUAAAAAAUGCAAGCCUUAGACUUGCAGAUGAGAUCUCUAUUCCACUAUUAUGUGUGUACCACUUAUUUAUCUGGUUUUCAUAACCCAAUUUUAAUGCAAGCCUUAGGCCUGCCACCACUUGUUCAUCUAGUUUUCAUAACCCAAUUUUAAUUUAAUUUAUAAUUGUAACUGUAGUUACCCUCCAAAUAAAAAAUGAUACGUUAAUUACUACCAAUUAAAUAUUAAAAUAAAGUUUACCGGCCUAACAUCAACAUAUAUAAAUUCCGAUUUGGAAGCAAAGUCUGUGACUAAAAAAUCUAGCUAGUUGCAGAUGGGAACAGUAGGGAAGGCGAAGAAGGAGCUAGAAGAGUUGUAUCUGGGCGUCCCAGAUGAAUCAGUGAACCUCACAUUCCAAGACUUGGCUCAACUCACCACCCAUCAAAACAAGCCCAAAUCUCCUCUCUGCAAGCUUCCUAGCAUAGACUUUCCGAGCCCCCACCACCACCACCGCCCUCACCACCACCACCAUGAUGAGACUAGCGUCGUCGAGAGAGGCGGGAGGCGCCGUCCCGGGAUUCCGCACUCUAAUAUUUGUGCCCUUUGUUGUAACUAUAUAUAUAUCUGUCGCCAUCGUUGCCUCGUGAGUAUAUAUUAUCUACCUUUAAAAUAGUGUCUCUUUUUUGGUGGGGGAGUAAAGGUAGAUUUUUUGGCAGGUUUGUGGAAGAGUUUAUUGCAGGCAAUGUGUGAGCGAUGGAAUGGGGGAGAUGACUCAAGGUAGAAAGUGCAUCGACUGUUUGGGAAGAAGAUUCAGCCAAAGGUACACGUCUAAUUAAUUAUUUCAAUUUCAUUUCAACUUUUUCCUAUUUCUGGACUUAAAUGUUAAUUCCAACUUCCCCACUUAAUUGCUCUACAUCUAAUAUCACAAAAUUAAAAUCAUCCCAGAGCAUACGCGGCACUCAAUCAAUUUUGAAUUUCUAAACUCUUUUCAAUAUUUUCCAUGAUACAAUUGGUAUACAUUAAAAAAAAAAUACUCCCUCUGUCCCGCCGAGCUUGAAGCGUUUCUUUUGGGCACGAGAAUUAAGAAGUUGUAGAUUAGUGUUUUAAGUUUGUAGUAAUAAAGUGAUAAAGUAAGAGAGAGAAUUUAAUAAAGUGAUAAAGUAGGAGAGAGAAUAUAAUAAGAGGUGCAAUUAAUUUUGUAAAUUAGUGCUUUAAAUUGCCUAAUUUUUGCCAAAAACAAGAAAUGACUCAAGCUCGGCGGGACAACCCGAAAAGGAAUACGACUCAAGCUCGGUGGGACGGAGGGAGUAAUAAAUUUUAAAAAUUAAGAGAGAAUAUAAAAGUAUUACUACUAUAUAAAAAUCCAAAACAGAAAUUGAAAGAAACAUAAUUAAUGGAGUUCUUUAUGGUGUUAACGAUGACAACUACUAAUACAAAACAGAAAUGCCGGCCGGCGAAUAAUGAAAUACGAAGCAGGCCUGCUAGUAUAUAGUAUUAUAUAUAUGAUGAAAUAUUGAGUUGGUAUAGUGAUACAUCAUACAUGCAUGCAGGUACAUACACAAGGCAGGUAACAUGGGGUGGUGCAUGGCGUAUCCAUCGGUGGUGAAGCAGCAGGAGCUCAAGUGGGCGGAGAGAGGAGCCAGGAGAAGCGGUGAGAAUAGAUACCAAAAGAGUGCUGUGUCGUCGAGAUCGCGCAGCCCCGUGGCCGUGGGCCUAGCAACGCCGUCUAGGCAACACAGCAACCCUCCUUCCUUCGUCAUCAACUCUCCUUAUAAUUCCCCUACUAAUCACCACCCCAUGCCCUUUUAGUUACCUCUUACCCUUUCUUACUCUAUUAAUCAAUCGUCUUUGAUUUCGGAGUUUGUUUGGUAUAUCUGUUUAUUUAUUUUGUAUGUAAGACCAACCACUUAUAUUCCAUAUAUUAUUUCAUUUACUCAAAUUUCAACCAUGCAUGCACAAAAAGGAAGCAAGCCUAGAAGCCAUGUGAAGUAAAUUGUACAUUGCUCGUUUGAAAGCUUUGUUGCUAUCGCAAAUACAGAAUUGUUGAGUAGAAUGUUCAAAUUGUAGGAACCAAAUUUGACAUAUGAUUCACGUGCCCGUGAUCUAUUCCGGAUACCAAACGAAUACAUACAAAAAUCUUUCGUGCCUAUUACAAGAGAACGAGUCUUACUUGCAAAUCCGGCGAUGAACGACUCCAGAGUGAAUCGUCCGACUUGUUUCCCACGGCAAGACUUGACGUUGGAUGGAAACGAUCUUCAAGUCCUCUCCCUAGUGUAACUGUCGCUCUCCCCUUCUCUAUGCUCUCACAGAUUUCUCAAUUUUCUGUCUUACAUAAUGUCACAACUGUAAUUAGAAUUAGGGUUGUACCUAUUAUUUAUACUGCGCAUUAAAACCCUAAACAAUAAGCCCAUCAUCUAAUUAAACUAAGACAAAGCCCAAAGGCUUAAGUGAGAGUGAGAAGAGGCGUCCAGCCCACUUAGAGCAAAGCCUUUAUUGGGCCAAGCGGGGAUCUACUAGCUCGAAUAAAGUUUGGCCUCCCAGUGCUCGAUUUUCUUAUUCACCUAGAAUAAAAUCGAGACAUAAGUAUUAAUUUAUUCCACUAUAAAAUUAAUACUGAAUUACCUCUUUAUUCUUUAGGUGAGUCGGGGCUAGUAUUAGACUUAAUUAAUCCCCGUGUUUACGAUAUCCAAUAUCCAUUAAUUAAUUAAUUCAUCUGACGAUCAAUUAAUUAAUUAAUUAGUCGUUUAAUUAUAAAUGACAUCUCGAGUGCUACCACUUAAACUUAUUAUCGUAUCGAAAUUAAUUCCACUUGCAAGGUUUAAUACGAUAAACUUAUUAAGUUCCUCGAGAUGAUAUUAUCAUCCUGUUAUUAGCAAGACACGGAUCCUCACUACAAGAAAAUUGCACAUACAUAACACAGCAUACAUAACGGUUUUUUUUCAAAAACCGUUAUCUAUGAGCGUUUUUUUGACAUUAGAUAACGGUUCGAUAAAAAUCUGUUAUGUAUGUAGUGUUAUGUAUAUGCAUUUAUAACGGUAUGAAGCAAUGCGUUAUGUAUGAGCGUUAUCUAUUAGUUAAAUACACAACAGUACUCCUUAACCGUUAUGCAAUGUGUUAUCUAUAAAUGUCUCUUUUAUAACGAUUGUUAAAAGCAUUAAGAUAAGCGUUGUAUAUGAACAUCUAUUAUAACAGAUAUUAUUACCACUAGUUUGUAACCCGUUGAAAUUCGACGAGAUACCAUUUUAUGUUGUAAUUUUAUUAUUUUAUAUAUUUUUUAUAGGGUUAAGGUGCAGAUAGGCCCCUCAAGUGAAGGCCCUUAGAGCAUUUCAGUCCUCUUAUUAACUGUGUGUGCAAAUUGGCCCUCGAACUCAAAAAAAUGGUGCAGAUCGCCCCCUCUGACUUAACACCGUUAUGGGCCGUUAGUCAGAGGGGGCGAUCUGCACCGUUUUUUUGGAGUUCAGGGGCUAAUCUGCACAUUUUCCCUUUUUGGAGUUCGGGGGCUAAUCUGCACACCGUUCAAUAAAAAAAAAUCACAUCUCAUCUUCUCCGACCAACUUUUCCGGCGUCAAUCGCCGUCAGAUGAGGAAAAUCACGAAAUCAAGUUCCCAAGCCCCAAAUCGGGAAUUCCAAAUCGACGUCAUUGCUCCCGAAAAUCACAUAAUCGAAAUGGAAACUCGAAUUCUCCCUCGAACGUCACCGCCCCCCAAUUGUAGAAUCACCCCCAACGAAUCGAACUUCGCCUCNGGCGACGGGCAUCGUCGGCCUUUAUCACCGGAUUUCGCCGGAUUUGAGAGAAAGAGGCGACUCCUUAUCAAAAAAAGCUAGGCGACUCCUCAUUGAGAAAAGCCAGGCGGCGGGUUCACCGGAUAUUGCGGCGGCGAUUUCCGACGGAAUGGGAGAAUUAGGGCUCGUCCUUGACGCUAAGCGUGUGCAGUCGAGCGAGCUCCGAGGUUUAGGGCCUAAGAGAGAAAGAAAGGGGCGGCGCCCUCCGCCAGCCUCGCCGGAGCUUGAAUCAGCGACAACGACGAUCAAAUUUUGAGCGAGAGAGAUGAAUUAAUUAAAAAGUUAAAAGGUGCAGAUUAGCCCCUGAACUCCGAAAAAAUGGUGCAGAUCGCCCCCUUGACUAACGGCCCAUAACGGUGUUAAAUCAGAGGGGCCGAUUUGCACCGUUUUUUUGAGUUCGGGGGCCAAUUUGCACACACAGUUAGUAAGGGGACUGAAACGCUCUAAGGGCCUCCACUUAAGGGGCCUAUCUGCACCUUAACCCUUUUUUAUAUAAUGAAAUUAUUUUUAUAUUAAAUAUAAUACUCCCUCCGUCCCAACGAAGAUGAUACGUAUUCCUUUUCGGGUCGUCCCAACGAAGAUGCUAUAUUUCUAAAUAUGAAAAAAUAAGGGAUUUUAAUUGCAGAAUUACAACUAAUUAAUCACUCCCUUAUUACAUUCUCUCUUCUACUUUAUCACUUUAUUAUCUUUUCUCUCAUACUUUAUUACUUUUAUACUACACACUUAAAACACUAAUCUGCAACCCCUUAAAUCCCGUGCCGAAAUAAAAUGUAUCAUCUUGGCUGGGACGGAGGGAGUAGAUUUGAACUUAUAUUAAUCGCAAUCACUUAUAACAACUAAAUGUGUUAAGAACUAAUUAUUGAUCACAUCUGUCUUCUGAGCAUCAUAUCAUUUUAACCCUGUAAGACCAUAUCAUCAUUUAGAGUACGAAAAGCAUCAGACUUUUGAGCAUAAUCUUGUUUGUACCUUGAAAUUCUAUAUAUGACUUAUGAGUCAAACUUUUGACCAUAACUGACUUAUAAACAUCAUCUUAUAUGGAGCUGAUCAUGAAAUAGUUUUGUACAUCAUCUCACGUGGAGCUUGAAAGUUCAUAUUUGAGUUUCGAGCAACAUCUUAUUUUGAGCGUGAAAGGCGUAACUGACUUGUGAUAAUCAUCUCGUUUGAAGUUUGAAAUAUUAUAACUAAGUUAUGAGAAUCAUUUCGUCUGAAGUUUAAGAAAAUUAAUUUGGGAUUCAAAUCAUAUCAUCUUAUUUAAUAUUCCAAUUGGCAAAUUUUCAUUAAAAUUAUUUGGAAUACAAAAUUCAUUUUAAAGAAUGGUAAAAAAAAUCUUAUUUUUUGGCCAAAUUAAAUUGAAGAAUUGAUUUAUCUAGUCACAACUAUUUAUUUAAAAAAAAUAGAUUAAAUUAACUUUUUAUUUAACCAAAUAAAUUUAAUGAAAUUAAAUUGACCGUGCAAUUUAAAUUGUAUUAAUGUCAAUCACUCUAUUAACUAAAUGUGAAUGUUUGGUUUGAGAAGUAGGAGCAUCCCUUUAUAUAGAUUUUAUUUUGGUGAAAUCUCAUAAAAUAUUAAUAUGCGAUGAUAUGACUUAGAUAUACGAGAAUGAAUAAAUAUGGAGAUGUAUUAUUAUUAUUAUUAUUAUUAUUAUUAAACUAAAAGGAAAAACAAAAAGAAAACGGAUGAAUUAUGCUCAACAAUAAAAAUUCAUAUGUGCAAAUUUCAUCAAAAUAAAUAAAUUCGAAUUUUGUAUGAAAAAUUAUACAAAUCAAAUUGAAGAAAUAAUUUUAUUUUGUCAAAGUAUUAAUCUCAAUCACUCCACCAAUUAAACAUAGAUUUUUGGUUUGAAGAGUAUGAUCAUUCUUUUAUAUAGGUUUUGUUUUG
rnacentral:lncRNA from 1 species